rnacentral:rRNA from 1 species
UGUCGUAAUGGUAAUUCAACUAGUACGAGAGGAACCGUUGAUUCUGAUAUUUGGUAUUUUCGCUUAGCUGAGAAGCUAGUGGCGAGAAGCUACAAUCAGUAGGAUUAUGACUGAACGCCUCUAAGUCAGAAUCCGUGCCAGAAACGAGAACGUGUGCCCGAUGACGCGAGUAUCGAUAGCUUCGGCCUGUACCGUAUGAUUGCGCAACGGGUCCUCUCUUGAGAAGAGGGGCCUGGUCGCUGAAUAGCAAUUUCAAACAUGGGGCAUGGGAGAUCCUUUGUAGACGACUUAACAAGCAACGGGGUAUUGUAAGCAGUAGAGUAGCCUUGUUGCUACGAUCUGCUGAGAUUAAGCCUUGGUUGU